rnacentral:rRNA from 4 species
GUGCAAUGGCAUAAGCCAGCUUGACUGCGAGCGUGACGGCGCGAGCAGGUGCGAAAGCAGGUCAUAGUGAUCCGGUGGUUCUGAAUGGAAGGGCCAUCGCUCAACGGAUAAAAGGUACUCCGGGGAUAACAGGCUGAUACCGCCCAAGAGUUCAUAUCGACGGCGGUGUUUGGCACCUCGAUGUCGGCUCAUCACAUCCUGGGGCUGAAGUAGGUCCCAAGGGUAUGGCUGUUCGCCAUUUAAAGUGGUACGCGAGCUGGGUUUAGAACGUCGUGAGACAGUUCGGUCCCUAUCUGCCGUGGGCGCUGGAGAACUGAGGGGGGCUGCUCCUAGUACGAGAGGACCGGAGUGGACGCAUCACUGGUGUUCGGGUUGUCAUGCCAAUGGCACUGCCCGGUAGCUAAAUGCGGAAGAGAUAAGUGCUGAAAGCAUCUAAGCACGAAACUUGCCCCGAGAUGAGUUCUCCCUGACCCUUUAAGGGUCCUGAAGGAACGUUGAAGACGACGACGUUGAUAGGCCGGGUGUGUAAGCGCAGCGAUGCGUUGAGCUAACCGGUACUAAUGAACCGUGAGGCUUAACCUU